AUUGAACGCUGGCGGCAUGCCUUACACAUGCAAGUCGAACGGCAGCACGGGAGCAAUCCUGGUGGCGAGUAGCGAACGGGUGAGUAAUGUAUCGGGACGUGCCCAGUCGUGGGGGAUAACGCAGCGAAAGCUGCGCUAAUACCGCAUACGAUCUAUGGAUGAAAGCGGGGGAUCGCAAGACCUCGCGCGAUUGGAGCGGCCGAUAUCAGAUUAGGUAGUUGGUGGGGUAAAAGCUUACCAAGCCUACGAUCUGUAGCUGGUCUGAGAGGACGACCAGCCACACUGGGACGGGGACACGGCCCAGACUCCUACGGGAGGCAGCAGUGGGGAAUUUUGGACAAUGGGCGCAAGCCUGAUCCAGCCAUGCCGCGUGCAGGAUGAAGGCCUUCGGGUUGUAAACUGCUUUUGUACGGAACGAAAAGGUUCUUAUUAAUAAAGAGGGUCCAUGACGGUACCGUAAGAAUAAGCACCGGCUAACUACGUGCCAGCCGCCGCCGAAAAAC
rnacentral:rRNA from 1 species